rnacentral:tRNA from 1 species
GUCCGAUCCCUUUAACUGAUCUUAAAAGGAUUAUCAUCAUUCAUGGAGGGAUGCCCAACAUGGAACUCAAACCCAUAACCCUGGGAUUAAGAGUCUCAUGCUCUACCAACUGAGCUAGCCGGGCACACUGGACCUGUGGUUGGAGCUGCAUGGUGUGGUGUGGUGCGGCGCGGCUGCAGCAGCCACAGAGAACCCCGGCUCCGUGCUGCUCCACGGCCGCUAGCCCGCUCCCCCUGAACAUCCCCAUGGGCGGAGACAGGGGUUGUACAGUCAAGCCCUGCACUAUCUCUGACUAAUCAGCAUUCUGAGCACGCCUAUAGGUAUGCCCGUCAGUACGCCCAUUGGUCCUGCCCUCUUGCAUCACCGCCUUUUCCGAUGUUACCCCUCCCCCAGGUGAGCCGGGCAGUGCCGCCCCCUCAAGGGGGCCGGGUGGCGCUGACGUGGAUGGUCCGCCCCUUGAUGGGUGGGUACAGCCUGCUCCAGUUUCUGCCCCAGAGACAAUACGUAAUAAAGGAUACUACUCCUGCUGAUACGGAGGCGGAGUCUCGGGAGUCUGUUGUGAGGUGAUUGGCAAAGACGACAGUGGGUGUUGCGGCAGCGGUGGGUGUUGCGACAUGCCUCCCUCGCAUUCCUCCACGAUGAUGGACAUGUGGGUGGCGCUGGACGCAGGGGCGGUUGGCAUGGCCGGCGCCAUUUUGAUUGGAGAGCCGUCUUCAGAGCUCCUAUGAGAAAAACUAUCUCCCGGCUGGCUCUGAUCUCCCAGAUCUAGGGAAUCUCCCGGGAAAAUUCCUGGAUCAGGUCCCAGCCCGAGCAGUAACUUUUUUUCUUCCCUGGCAGCUUUCAAAGCACCAAGAAUCAGCCCCCACGUUUUAAGCUCUGCAGCUUUCUGCAUGGACAUAUCUCUCUGCGCAAGCACCGUCGUGAGGAAACCCCACAUCUGAUAGUUAAGUACUUCGUGGGGGGAGGCAAUUAUGCGUUCUUGUUCUAAACGAGAGAGCACCGCGGCAAUUUCCUUCUCAGAAGGAGAAUUCUUCCCGCAAUAUUCUUUGCAAAAUGAAAACAGUACCUUAACAACUUGUUCCAUGGCUGUGGCUGGCGUCUUCCCUGCCGAUAUACCUCAGGAGGCGUACCCUUUUUCUUGUGCCGCUAAGCUCAAGACUCCAGGUCUUCUGCAAGCGUUCCUUCCCCGCUGCAGACUGUUCCAGAAGCUCACGCGGGCUGCUGGCCAAUCAUAUUGA